AUCAUUUUUAUACGACCGCAAAAAAUUUUGCGGUCGUAUAUUGGUAUGACGGUGGCGUCAUCGUCGUCGUUGUCGUCGUCGUCCGAAGACACAUUGGUUUUCGCACUCUAACUUUAGUUUAAGUGAAUAGAUCUCUAUGAAAUUUUACCAUAAGGUUCAAUACCACAAAAGGAAGGUUGGGAUUGAUUUUGGGGGUUAUGGUACCAACAGUUAAGGAAUUAGGGGCCAAAAAGGGGCCAAAAAUAAGCAUUUUUGUAACUUCCAGACAUAACUUGUGUGUUAGUGUAUGGAUCUCUCUGACAUUGUACCACAAGGUUCCAUAUCACAAAAGGAAUGCUGGGAUUGAUUUUGGGGGUAAUUGCCUCCAAAUUUUAGGAAUUAGGGGCCAAAAAAAGGGGCAAAAAACAAGCAUUUUUAUACGACCGCAAAAAAAUUUUUGUGGUCGUAUAUUGGUAUGACGUUGGCGUCGUCGUCGUCCGGCGUCGUCGUCGUCGUCGUCGUCUGGCGUCGUCCGGCGUCGUCCGAAGACACAUUGGUUUUCGCACUCUAACUUUAGUUUAAGUGAAUGGAUCUCUAUGAAAUUUUACCACAAGGUUCAAUACCACAAAAGGAAGGUUGGGAUUGUUUUUGGGGGUUAUGGUACCAACAGUAAAGGAAUUAGGGGCCAAAAAGGGGCCAAAAAUAAGCAUUUUUGUAACUUCCAGACAUAACUUGUGUGUUAGUGUAUGGAUCUCUCUGACAUUGUACCACAAGGUUCCAUAUCACAAAAGGAAUGCUGGGAUUGAUUUUGGGGGUAAUUGCCUCAAAAUUUUAGGAAUUAGGGGCCAAAAAAGGGGCAAAAAACAAGCAUUUUUCUAGUUUCAUAACAAUAACUUGUGUGUAAGUGUAUGGAUCUUUCUGAAAUUGUACUACAAGGUUCCAUAUCACAAAGGGAAAGCUGGAAUUGAGUUUGGGGGUAAUUGCCGAAACAUUUAGGAAUUGGGGGGCCAAAAAGGGGCCAAAAAUAAGCAUUUUUCUAGUUUCCAGACAAUAACUUGUGUUCAAGUGUAUGGAUCUCUCUGAAAUUGUACUGCGAGGUACCAUACCACAAAGGGAAGGCUGGGAUUGAUGAUGGGGGUAAUUGCCUCAAUAUUUUAGGAAUUAAGGGCCAAAAAGGGGCAAAAAACAAGCAUUUUUCUAGUUUCAGGACAAUAACUUGUGUGUAAGUGUAUGGAUCUUUCUGAAAUUGUACUACAAGGUUUCAUAUCACAAAGGGAAAGCUGGAAUUGAGUUUGGGGGUAAUUGCCCAAAAAGUUUAGGAAUAAGGGGCCAAAAAUAAGCAUUUUUCUAGUUUCCAGACAAUAACUUGUGUUCAAAUGUAUGGAUCUCUCUGAAAUUGUACUGCAAGGUACCAUACCACGAAGGGAAGGCUGGGAUUGAUUUUGGGGGUAAUUCCCUCAAAAUUUUAGUAAUUAGGGGCCAUAAAAGGGCAAAAAACAAGCAUUUUUCUAGUUUCAGGACAAUAACUUGUGUGUAAGUGUAUGGAUCUUUAUGAAAUUGUACUACAAGGUUCCAUAUCACAAAGGGAAAGCUGGGUUUGAGUUUGGGGGUAAUUGCCCAAAAAGUUUAGGAAUAAGGGGCCAAAAAACAAGCAUUUUUCUAGUUUCCAGACAAUAACUUGUGUUCAAGUGUAUGGAUCUCUCUGAAAUUGUACUGCAAGGUACCAUACCACAAAGGGAAAGCUGGGAUUGAGUUUGGGGUGAUGAAUCAUAAGGGGGUUCAAAAAAAUUGGGGGGGAUUUUUUUUUCCUUUUUUCAUACAUGUGAACCUCCCGACGGGAGUACAAUAAUCCCGUUUUCAGGGGUCUCCUCUCGACCUCG